GAGGGGAUAGCUCACAUAGUAGAGUGCAUGCUUCCCAUGCAGGAGGUCCUGGGUUCAAUCCCCAGUACCUCCU
rfam:Camelus ferus unplaced genomic scaffold scaffold12758, whole genome shotgun sequence.